rnacentral:tRNA from 1 species
GAUAAAGUGCCUGAUAAAAGGGUUAUUUUGAUGUAAUAGACAUGUACUCACCUUUAUCU